UACGUAGGGGGCUAGCGUUGUCCGGAAUCAUUGGGCGUAAAGCGCGUGUAGGCGGUCCGGUAAGUCCGCUGUGAAAGUCGGGGGCUCAACCCUCGGAUGCCGGUGGAUACUGUCGGGCUUGAGUACGGAAGAGGCGAGUGGAAUUCCUGGUGUAGCGGUGAAAUGCGCAGAUAUCAGGAGGAACACCAUUGCGAAGGCAGCUCGCUGGGACGUUACUGACGCUGAGACGCGAAAAGCGUGGGGGAGCAAACAGG
rnacentral:rRNA from 1 species